rnacentral:rRNA from 1 species
UUGGCUUAGAAGCAGCCAUCCUUGAAAGAGUGCGUAAUAGCUCACUGGUCAAGUGAUUCUGCGCCGAUAAUGUAGCGGGGCUCAAGUACACCGCCGAAGUUGUGGCAAUCAGUCUUUGUGGCUGGUUGGGUAGGGGAGCGUCCUGCACGAGGUGAAGCUGCCACGGGAGUGUGUGGUGGAUUGUGUGGGAGUGAGAAUGCAGGCAUGAGUAGCGAAUCACGGGUGAGAAACCCGUGCGCCGGAUGAUCAAGGGUUCCAGGGUCAAGUUAAUCUGCCCUGGGUUAGUCGGGGCCUAAGGCGAGGCCGACAGGCGUAGUCGAUGGAGAACGGGUUGAUAUUCCCGUACCAGUGAAGGACCGUCCAUACUGAUAUUGUGAUGCUAACCAUGCCGAUCACGGUGUCAUGAAGUUUUUCUUUGUGGUGUUGUGGGGUGUGUGGGACCCAAGCUUUGGAGGUAAGCGUGUUAACAGGUGUGACGCAGGAAGGUAGCCAAGCCACGCGGUGGUUGUCGUGGUCUAAGCGUGUAGGAUGACUGGUUGUUAAAUGCGCCGGUUGUGUGUCUGAGACGUGAUGGGACCCCUUGUUUGUGGGGGAUUUGGUGAUCCUAUGCUGCCGAGAAAAGCAUCGGCGUGAGGUUUUAGCUGCCCGUACCCGAAACCGACACAGGUGAUCAGGUAGAGAAUACUAAGGCGAUCGAGAGAAUCAUGGUUAAGGAACUCGGCAAAAUGCCCCCGUAACUUCGGGAGAAGGGGGGCCCGAUCCCUUGAAGCCCCGUGGCGGGCUAGGGGGGUGGGUCGCAGAGACCAGGGGGAAGCGACUGUUUACUAAAAACACAGGUCCGUGCGAAGCCGUAAGGCGAUGUAUACGGACUGACGCCUGCCCGGUGCUGGAAGGUUAAGAGGAACCAUCAACCCUCUCGGGGGUGAAGUGGUGAAUUUAAGCCCCAGUAAACGGCGGUGGUAACUAUAACCAUCCUAAGGUAGCGAAAUUCCUUGUCGGGUAAGUUCCGACCUGCACGAAUGGAGUAACGACUUCCCUACUGUCUCAACCAUGAACUCGGUGAAAUUGCAGUACGAGUAAAGAUGCUCGUUUCGCGCAGCAGGACGGAAAGACCCCGUGACCUUUACUAUAGUUUGGUAUUGGUGUUUGGGUUGGCUUGUGUAGGAUAGGUGGGAGACUGUGAAGCCGUCACGCUAGUGGUGGUGGAGUCGUUGUUGAAAUACCACUCUGGUCAAUCUGGAUGUCUAACUUCGGGCCAUGAUCUGGUUCAGGGACAGUGCCUGAUGGGUAGUUUAACUGGGGCGGUUGCCUCCUAAAGUGUAACGGAGGCGCCCAAAGGUUCCCUCAGCCUGGUUGGCAAUCAGGUGUUGAGUGUAAGUGCACAAGGGAGCUUGACUGUGAGAGUGGCGACUCGAGCAGGGACGAAAGUCGGGACUAGUGAUCCGGCAGUGGCUUGUGGAAGCGCUGUCGCUCAACGGAUAAAAGGUACCUCGGGGAUAACAGGCUGAUCUUGCCCAAGAGUCCAUAUCGACGGCAUGGUUUGGCACCUCGAUGUCGGCUCGUCGCAUCCUGGGGCUGGAGUCGGUCCCAAGGGUUGGGCUGUUCGCCCAUUAAAGCGGUACGCGAGCUGGGUUCAGAACGUCGUGAGACAGUUCGGUCCCUAUCCGCUGCGCGCGUUGGAGAAUUGAGAAAGGCUGUCCUUAGUACGAGAGGACCGGGACGGACGAACCUCUGGUAUGUCAGUUGUACCGCCAGGUGCAUGGCUGAUUGGCUACGUUCGGGAGGGAUAACCGCUGAAAGCAUCUAAGCGGGAAGCUUGUUUCGUGAUGAGUUCUCCUGGCACCCUUUUGGGUGUGUGAGGUUCCCUGUAGAUGACGGGGUUGAUAGGCCGGGUAUGGAAGCGCUGUAAGGUGUGGAGUUGACUGGUACUAAUAGACCGAAGGCUUACAUUA